rnacentral:tRNA from 1 species
GCGGGCGUGGCGGAAUUGGCAGACGCGUAUGGCUUAGGACCAUAUGCCGCAAGGUAUGGGGGUUCAAAUCCCUUCGCCCGCA